rnacentral:tRNA from 2 species
GGGCCGCUAGCUCAAUGGUAGAGCAGCUGACUCUUAAUCAGCGGGUUGGAGGUUCGAGUCCUCCGCGGCUCACCA